rnacentral:miRNA from 1 species
UGUGUGUGUACUUGGGUAGAAUAUGUUUUCUGUUUUGGUUGAGUUAUACACACACACACACACACACACACACACACACACACACACAUAU